rnacentral:rRNA from 1 species
GACGAACGCUGGCGGCGUGCUUAACACAUGCAAGUCGAACGGAAAGGCCCUGCUUUUGUGGGGUGCUCGAGUGGCGAACGGGUGAGUAACACGUGAGUAACCUGCCCUUGACUUUGGGAUAACUUCAGGAAACUGGGGCUAAUACCGGAUAGGAGCUCCUGCUGCAUGGUGGGGGUUGGAAAGUUUCGGCGGUUGGGGAUGGACUCGCGGCUUAUCAGCUUGUUGGUGGGGUAGUGGCUUACCAAGGCUUUGAUGGGUAGCCGGCCUGAGAGGGUGACCGGCCACAGUGGGACGGAGGUACGGCCAAGCGUGGGAGGGGGGGCAGCGGUGGGAAAUACGGAGCAGGGGGGGGAAGCGGGAGGAGGCGACGGCGGGGGGGGGAUGAGGGCCUUCGGGUGCUGAUCCGCUUUCGCGUGUGACGAAGGGUGGGGGGGGGUAAGGGGUAAAGACGCACCGGCUAACUACGUGGCAGCAGCCGCGGUAAUAAGUGGAAGAGCACCCGGCUGACC